rnacentral:rRNA from 1 species
GACGAACGCUGGCGGCGUGCUUAACACAUGCAAGUCGAGCGGUAAGGCCCUUUCGGGGGUACACGAGCGGCGAACGGGUGAGUAACACGUGGGUGACCUGCCCUCAGCUCUGGGAUAAGCCUGGGAAACCGGGUCUAAUACUGGAUAUGACUCCAUGACGCAUGUUGUGGGGUGGAAAGCCUUGUGCGGCUGAGGAUGGGCCCGCGGCCUAUCAGCUUGUUGGUGGGGUGANGGCCUACCAAGGCGACGACGGGUAGCCGGCCUGAGAGGGCGACCGGCCACACUGGGACUGAGACACGGCCCAGACUCCUACGGGAGGCAGCAGUGGGGAAUCUUGCGCAAUGGGCGAAAGCCUGACGCAGCGACGCCGCGUGAAGGAUGAAAUCCCUCGGGAUGUAAACUUCGCAAGAACGGGAAGAAUAAGCGAAAGUUAAUAUCUUUCGUGAUGACGGUACCGUUUGUAAGCUCCGGCUAACUCCGUGCCAGCAGCCGCCGCGGUAAC